rnacentral:lncRNA from 1 species
GUUUAGUUAUGGAGAAGAGAAUAGGCAUGUGUUGUGGUAAUUGAAGAAAGGAGAAGGGAUAAAGGGUCGGCAACCCUACAGAAGCACCCUUUAGUCCUUUAGCGAGACAUCCGAGCCGAGUGCCUAAAUUCUUUUUUUCCCUUUCUUUUCUUUCUUCUUUGAGGCUUUGCGAUCGGCUGAUACGACAUACCUAACCACUAUGCAGGACGAUUCAACAUCUUUUCUGAAUAAUUCUUUGAAAGAACGUACAAAUAAGAAAACCUUGGCAAGACAAUGUUAUGAAACGCAAUACGAUUUCUAUCGAACCUAAGCUCCUUCCUUUAAUACAAUAAUCGAUAUAUCGCGGAAUAUUUUCUUCGCAGAACAAAUAAUAAAUAACGAAUCGUCUUUAUACGAAACCUUUUCUUAUUUAUAUUUCUGUAACAGAUUUUAAAGAUUGACUCUUCCAAAGAAAUGCCACACAGCUCGUUAAAUUCUUCCUAAGAAAUUCUUAAGACUCUUCGUACAAAAGACGCGUAUUACACGCGGAUAAUUAUAAAAAGUUUCCCCGGCUAACGAUCCCCUGAAAGAAAUAUUAGAAAUACCUCAUCGUUGGUCUCAUUAUCCACAAAAACUAUAGAAAAACCGAGGAAUGCGAUAAAUGAAGAGCUUAUAAAAUACGCAUGGGAAUGUUAAAACUUAUCGAACAGAAAUGCACAUCGAUGGAAGUAUUAAAUAAAACCUGAUACAAUAUUUAAAACGCAAAUCAAACUGAUCGAUGAUAAAAAAAUUAUUUGUAUGAAAUAAAGAAUCACACUUUAACGAGUUUAAUCGACGCUUCCAGAAAAAUGAGAAACACUGUUUAGGGUUAUUGGGUUACAGUUUCACGCUCACGGUGGUCUGUCACCUUCCCAUACAACCUUCGCAAAGCAGCGAACACGUCUUCAAUAAUCGACAGAAAUAAUUCUCACCGCAAAAGAUAUUUAAUUCCUCGUUCAAACUUGACGUUCACGUUACUCGAUAUUACGCCAUCGUUCGAAUUUUUACCGCCAAACCAUGCAACCAACUUCACGUAAUAGCACAAAAAAAGUAAUAACUAAUCGAUACCUAUUUUGAUUCUCGAAUUGAACUUUUAGAUUUUUCCCUCUUCGAACCAUUCUACCGUUUCAACGGUUCAUAGACAUUAAAACUGGACGUGAAUGAAUAAAAAGAAAAAUGGAAAAAGGGAAAGGAAGGACGUGCGAAAUUCGGCGCCCGAUAGCGCCACGACGCUGCAUUCUCAAGGAAAAUAAACCGUUCGCCGUCUGACUAUUUGAUUUAUGAACGCGGGCGACAACCUACCGCACGGCAUACCGAAAUAGAUCAAGAGGAGAACCAUUGCAGUGUAUGCGAGAGGUAAAUCUGUCUCGAGAACAACCACUGAACUUUCAUUUUUAUGGAAUAUUGAUAGGAUGUUUAUUUAUACCUUUUAUUUGGUAACUUGUCUGAAAAAAAGAUUGAAAAAGGAAGAACGAAAACACCGUGACAGGACUCGUGGAGAGUUCAAGUCAUUAUCUAAAGUGACCCGUGGAUUAAUUUGCAGAGCAAGUUCGUAUGCACAUGGAAGUCGGAAAGGGAAGGAGGGAGAAUGUUGAAAAACGCGGUAAAAGUACUCGACAUGUGACGAACAGACCGUGAAGGAAGGCAAGCAUGACUAUUACUUCCGUUUGUGAACUGUUCCAUCCGAGCAGGUAGAAGUAAGAAAAGGAUAAUGCGUGUGAGGUGACAUGAUAAUGGAAUUACUGUCGUGUGAAAGAGUACAACAGGCUCAAAUGAACAAAAUUAUUUUUUGACAAAUAAGAAAGUACCCGAUGAAACAGAAUUACACGAGGCUUUGUCAAAUCACAAAAGAUAUCUCAAAUAAAUCACCCUGUAUAUAAAUAUGCACGCAUGUACACCGCGUGGGCGCUAACCAUUAAGGUGUUGUUACGACAUCAGUCACAGAGUACACCCGUUUGUAAAUACCACUUUACACAAAACACAUUUAAACGCGCGUAUAUUGCCCGAUCAUUCCGUAUUUGGGGCUACUAGCAUUAGAGUGGAUCUUCGUACCUCGAAGGCACAUCAUAAACAGGCGCAUACCGGAACACGUACGAAGCAACAAAAAACACAAAAAUCGAUUCUAAAUUUAAUUCGAUAAUCUAGAAGCAAGAAUGAUGAAUUAUUAUUGUCGGUUUACUGUUUACAGGAAUCUAUAAUUAUUUCACAGUUUACUGCACAGCGAUAGAAUCGUAUCUCACAAUCAACCAAAGUUAACUGGUUUAUUUGAAGAACGCACCCUUUUAAGACCCCCUUUCAUACUUCUCCAUGACGAUAAGCCGGAAAUGGAUCUUUAUACUUAACUAGUCCGACGUAUGUAAUGAUCAAACGCAAAUAAAGAAAAUAAUAAAAGCGUAAUGCCGUUGAUAAUACUUUAAUAUACGAUAUGAUUGCAUCAAAAUAAUCGAGAAAAAACUGUCCGAUUAAUCUGUAGCGUGGGUCGUUGUAUCGAUAGAUUGACAUAGUAGCGCUGAACAUUUCGCAUAUGCAUUUCCUAUCGCGAUAAAAUCGCAAGGAGAGGCUUGCCGCGUUGUUGGAAUACUUUGCUAAAGUGUUUGGUGCAAAUGCUUCUAGCGGUGCAACCUCU